rnacentral:rRNA from 1 species
UACGAAGGGGGCUAGCGUUGUUCGGAUUUACUGGGCGUAAAGGGCGCGUAGGCGGCGCACCAAGUCAGGCGUGAAAGCCCUGGGCUCAACCCGGGAAUUGCGCUUGAGACUGGUGUGCUAGAGUACGGGAGAGGAUAGUGGAAUUCCCAGUGUAGAGGUGAAAUUCGUAGAUAUUGGGAAGAACACCGGUGGCGAAGGCGGCUAUCUGGACCGUAACUGACGCUGAGGCGCGAAAGCGUGGGGAGCAAACAGG